GUUGCUGGGCAAUUGCGUUUUGACUCUUUUCUAUUGAGAUUGGGCAACAUUGCUUCUUUCUGAAUGGUUUUGAUAAUCUCUGGCAACUUUUUGAGAUAAGCCAAUCAGAAUGCGAGUAUCGAGUCAUGUGACCUCCGGUGAGGUUCGGAUCAGAAAUUUCAAACAAAUAUGGCGGCCGCUCAGUGUCAGUGGAGUGAAGAGACUCCUCAUCUGUUUUUAUGCCACUAGUGUGGCUGUAAGGCUGAAGAGACCCAUCUACAGCAUGUUCAAAACAGCGUAAAGAGCAAAUGAGUGGAGACAUGAGUGGACGGAGCAUAAAAGGAGAGAGCAGAGAAAGGGAGCUCUCUCCCCAACCACAAUGCAUUGACCACACCCUAUAAGAGGAGAGGGACAGCAGAGGAAGGGGGCUCUCCCCAACCUGGACACUUGUGUGCGCGUGUGUGUGUGUGGAUGGACAUGUCAGACAGAGGGCUGGGGGCUGUUCUGUCCCAGGAGGUGGAGGGGGAGGACGAUCCAGUGCUGUACAUCAGCUGUCGGUGCGCGAGGGCAGGUACAGCACAAUAGAAAAGGAAUGCCUCGCCAUCAAGUGGGCAGUCCUCGCCCUCUGCUACUAUCUGCUGAGGUGUCCUUUCACCCUCUGUUCGGACCACGCGCCCCUGCAGUGGCUCCACUGCAUGAAGGAUGCCAACGCGCGGA